rnacentral:snoRNA from 1 species
GCUGCUGCUGCUGCUGUUGCUGCUGCUGCUGCUGCUGCUGCUGCGGCAGCAGCAGCAGGAGAGAGAGAGAAAGAGAGAAGAUAUCUUUUGUUUCUUUCUGUCUCC